rnacentral:lncRNA from 1 species
GUCGGACUAGACUUGAGCUAUAAUAACUUCUCAAGUUCGUUACCGGUCGAGUUGUCACGAAUGCGAGGGUUGAAAUUCCUGAUCAUGGCACACAAUCAGUUCAAUGGAAGCAUACCUGAAGAAUAUGGCAAAAACUUGACAGACAUUCAAGCUCUUGAUCUAUCCUUCAACAGACUCACAGGAAGCAUUCCAUCCUCUUUCGGAGAUCUGAAUUCCCUCCUAUGGCUGAUGCUGGCAAACAACGAGAUAACCGGCCCGAUCCCAAGCAAACUCGGGAAAUGCAGCAGCUUACUGUGGCUGAACUUAGCUAACAACAGACUCUCAGGAACCAUCCCAUCAGAACUGAUGAACAUUGGGAGCAAUCCCGAGCCGACGUUUCGAAAGAAUCGCGAACAUGGCAGGGCUUAUACUGGUGUCGGAGAGUGCACGGGGAUGAAGAGAUGGAUCCCUGCUGAUUAUAACCCGUUCAGAUUCGUAUAUUCGAUCCUCAACACCAAGAGCUGCAAAAGCUUAUGGGACAGAUUGUUCAACGGGAAUGGAAUCUUUCCGGUUUGUGCUCAUGGAACGACGGUUAGAACGUUAGAGAUCUCGGGAUAUCUCCAGCUUAGUGGCAACAUGUUAUCAGGUCACGUCCCUGUAGAAAUCGGCAAGAUGGAGAAUUUCAGCAUGCUGCAUUUGGGAAUCAAUAACUUCACGGGGAAUUUACCUCUCCAGGUUCAACAGAUGCCUCUAGUGGUUCUCAACUUGACAAGAAACUCAUUCCAAGGAAUCAUUCCCAGUGAGAUAGGUAACAUAAAAUGCUUGCAGAAUCUGGAUUUCUCCUUCAAUAAUUUCUCAGGAACGUUCCCUACCAGUGUAAACAACUUGACCGAGCUGAGCAAGUUCAAUAUCUCGUACAAUCCAUCGAUUUCGGGGAUCAUCCCGACGACUGGCCAGUUGGCAACGUUUGAAAGGGACUCGUUUCUCGGAGACCCGCUGCUUGUUCUCCCCAAAUUCAUUAGCAAUUCGUCUGAUCGAGGAUCAAGGGAUCGCGAAUCGGGCAAGGAUAAGACUGUUGUUCACACGAAAUGGGGAGCAUUCUUGAUAUUGACAGUUCUGGU